GUUUUCUUGUAGUGAUGAGGUAUGAUAAAUAUUCUCCUUUGGAUUUUUUUAGGUUCAAUGGUUUAUAGUGGUGAUGAGAAGUAACAUUAGCUUUGUGAAUUGUGAAUUUUCUAGAUAAUCAAGUAGUAUAACUGUCUUGAACGGUGGAAACAUGUUUGAAAAAUGUUGUCUUGAGAAGUUGUCUUGAGAAGUUGUCUUGAACGGUGGAAACAUGUUUGAAAAAUGUCAGUUCUGAUGUUGAGAAAUUGAAGAAAUUGAUUCUGCACAACCCGGUAGUCUUGACCUUGCAAGAAGGUUCUGACAAGGAAGAGCCCGUCCCAAGUAAUGUUCAGCAGUUUUGGAUUUCUUGCAGUACUCAGGAUAAACUACUACACAUUCUUGCUCUCCUGAAGCUAGAGGUUGUUCAGAAGAAAGUUCUGAUAUUCAUCAAUACUAUUGACAUGGGUUUCAACGGCCAUUGACACCGGUGAAAAGUGAUUGGACUCUCUUGCAACACACAUGUAUUGAGAGCAUCCGUGUCACGUACUCACGGAUUUCUUCUUAUUUCACCAAACGUUCCAUGUUAAGUUCUUUCUUCUUUCUUCUAUCUCAAGUUUUUUAUCUAAACACAAGAUCAAACGAUUCAAAUUAUUUAUCUAAACACAAGUUCUAGCUCAAACUCUUUCUUCCAUCUCAAGUCUUAUAAAACAAGAAAAGUCCUACCAAUAAUCUUUAAUUUAUGGAUUGUCCUUAGCUUUGUCUUUUAAUAUAAAAGUAAUAAUAAAAUAUGUUAAGGACUUAAAAAUUGUCCUACCAAUAAUGUUGCCCUUAGAUACCAUUCAUUGAGGAUGUUGCCCUAAAAACUUCACCCUAAGAACUUCUCCAAUAAUCAUGCACCUAACCAUGGGGUUGUGGCCGGUCGUAUUGUGGGUUCAAAAUCUGUCCCCCCCCCCCCCCCCCUUGUAUAUAUUAUACAUCUGCGUUGGCCAGGUGGUGUAGAUAUCUAAUUCAUACGUAGAGCAACUGUUGCUUGCAUGUCCCCAGUGAACCUGCCUUCUAGAGAUUAAUCUGGGUCUCGCCCAAGACACCUUAGGUCUAUACAAAAAAAAAAGAAUUUUUAAAAACCUUUUUCUAAAUGCAAUAUGGACCAUUGAAGUAAACUUAAAGAAGCAAUUUGAAAUGACUCAAAAAGAAAUAACGAAAUUAGCCAUCCAACUAUAAUGCUACAAUAGUAGGUCAUCUUCAACCAUCCAUCUCACACCUUCUUUGCUUUUAACCCUCCACUAAGUGAUGAGAUUCAAACACCUUUUUCCAAAUUUUCUUUUCUUGUUCUUAUAAGAAAAGUUAAGUUUCUUUAGUUUAAAAGUAUUUAUAAUUUAUUAAAACAAGAAUCAUGUCUAAAUCUCAAAAAAAAAAAAAAAAAAAAAAAAAAAAAAAAAAAAAAAAAUCUCAACAAAGUUCCUGAUAGAAAUCAAAUCAUUUUAUCAUUUUAGGUAGAUAAACAUAAAAAUAAUAAUUUGCUUUGUUUUCUUCUGUCACAGACCUACACUGGUUUCUUUUUUAAUGUGUUUCACAUAUAUAACUCGUUAACUGAGUGGACUUCAAAACCGUUGUAACAACAUCAUCUUCUGGUUUUUCCCCUUUGUUAUGGGUCUACAUCCUUCUUUGUGUGUGUUAGGCUGUUAGCCUUUCAAUUAUUUUAUCUUUAUAUUACAUGUUUUCACGAUGCUGCUAUUUUAGAAUUAAAGUAUGUACCAAUCAACAUUUAUUUUAUACUCCAUGAUGUAAAAGCCAAACGCAAACGCAGAGAGAGUAUAUAUGCAUUACGUCAACAAACCAUAUAGAUAUUUAAUUGGGUUCCGGAAGUGUUUAUUACUAUUAAAGAAUAUUGAAACGUUAGUUAUAACCAACCACAACAAUCAAAACGUUAUUAAAUGUAUAAGAGACUGCCUGGAUUGGUUUGAAGUAAUCAAAAUCUGAAUCUGUUUUCCUCGCAUCCAAUCUAGAAUAUCCUGUAAGUGGACCUCCAACAAAAAGAUAUCGUACUACAUUUGCUGUACGUCUUUACAUGUUCUUGAUUUUUAGUUAGCUAUCUCGAAUACCCUCUCGAAUAUGGGAGACGUUUAAAUGUCAAAGGUCUAACAGGUUGGCUUAUCACCUAAUCUUAGAUUUUCUAUAUUGUAACGGGAAUUCAUAUAUAUAUAUAUAUAUAUAUGUUAUAGACACUUUGGAUAAGGCUCUUUUGAAAUUCGUGACUUGAAUCACGCGUUAUAAAAUAAUUCAAAAUAGAGUUUAGAAUAGCAACGUCAAAUGAUGAUAAACUAGCUCUACAUAAUGUAUAAGUUGACAGCAAAUGGAUAAUUCUUCUUUUUUUUUUGGCAGUACGCCAAAAUCAAAACUCCAUAAAUAAUUGAAACAAACAACAGCACUAACAACU